rnacentral:pre_miRNA from 1 species
GGCAGCAUUACAGGGCAUGUUCUCUUUUGGCAGGUAAACACAAAGUAUGAUAUGCAUUGCAAAUGCAAAUUCGAGUGUGCAAUCUGCCAAAGGAGAUUUGCUCAGCAAUUCUCCC